UGAACCUUCCCCAAAUAGUCAUUGCAACUGGGCAAAGCCACAAAAGACAGGUACAAAAAUAAUUCCCCUUUUACAACCCAGAACUCAUUGCUCAAUAUGAACUUUGAUAAAUACACAAAGGAAUAUG